rnacentral:rRNA from 1 species
GUUAUAUGGUCAAGCGAAUAAGCGCACACGGUGGAUGCCUAGGCGGUCAGAGGCGAUGAAGGACGUGGUAGCCUGCGAAAAGUGUCGGGG